rnacentral:rRNA from 1 species
ACUCUCGUUUAGAUUGAAGGAGCUUGCUCCUGAUUGAUAAACAUUUGAGUGAGUGGCGGACGGGUGAGUAACACGUGGGUAACCUGCCCUAAAGUGGGGGAUAACAUUUGGAAACAGAUGCUAAUACCGCAUAAAACCUAACACCGCAUGGUGUAGGGUUGAAAGAUGGUUUCGGCUAUCACUUUAGGAUGGACCCGCGGUGCAUUAGUUAGUUGGUGAGGUAAAGGCUCACCAAGACCGUGAUGCAUAGCCGACCUGAGAGGGUAAUCGGCCACACUGGGACUGAGACACGGCCCAGACUCCUACGGGAGGCAGCAGUAGGGAAUCUUCCACAAUGGACGAAAGUCUGAUGGAGCAACGCCGCGUGAGUGAAGAAGGUUUUCGGAUCGUAAAACUCUGUUGUUGGAGAAGAAUGUAUCUGAUAGUAACUGAUCAGGUAGUGACGGUAUCCAACCAGAAAGCCACGGCUAACUACGUGCCAGCAGCCGCGGUAAUACGUAGGUGGCAAGCGUUGUCCGGAUUUAUUGGGCGUAAAGCGAGCGCAGGCGGUUUCUUAAGUCUGAUGUGAAAGCCUUCGGCUCAACCGAAGAAGUGCAUCGGAAACUGGGAAACUUGAGUGCAGAAGAGGACAGUGGAACUCCAUGUGUAGCGGUGAAAUGCGUAGAUAUAUGGAAGAACACCAGUGGCGAAGGCGGCUGUCUGGUCUGUAACUGACGCUGAGGCUCGAAAGCAUGGGUAGCAAACAGGAUUAGAUACCCUGGUAGUCCAUGCCGUAAACGAUGAGUGCUAGGUGUUGGAGGGUUUCCGCCCUUCAGUGCCGCAGCUAACGCAUUAAGCACUCCGCCUGGGGAGUACGACCGCAAGGUUGAAACUCAAAGGAAUUGACGGGGGCCCGCACAAGCGGUGGAGCAUGUGGUUUAAUUCGAAGCAACGCGAAGAACCUUACCAGGUCUUGACAUCCUUUGACCACUCUAGAGAUAGAGCUUUCCCUUCGGGGACAAAGUGACAGGUGGUGCAUGGUUGUCGUCAGCUCGUGUCGUGAGAUGUUGGGUUAAGUCCCGCAACGAGCGCAACCCUUAUUACUAGUUGCCAGCAUUUAGUUGGGCACUCUAGUGAGACUGCCGGUGACAAACCGGAGGAAGGUGGGGACGACGUCAAAUCAUCAUGCCCCUUAUGACCUGGGCUACACACGUGCUACAAUGGAUGGUACAACGAGUUGCGAGACCGCGAGGUUUAGCUAAUCUCUUAAAACCAUUCUCAGUUCGGAUUGUAGGCUGCAACUCGCCUACAUGAAGCCGGAAUCGCUAGUAAUCGCGGAUCAGCAUGCCGCGGUGAAUACGUUCCCGGGCCUUGUACACACCGCCCGUC